GGGCCCGUAGCAUAGCCUGGAUAGUGCAGCCGGCUUCGGACCGGCGGACCGGGGUUCGAAUCCUCGCGGGCUCA
rnacentral:tRNA from 1 species